rfam:Capsicum annuum cultivar Zunla-1 chromosome 4, whole genome shotgun sequence
GAGAGCACAGUACGAUGAAUGUUGUAAGCUGUGUUCGGGGGGAGGGAGUUAUUAUUUAUCAUCAGCCUCUAUUGUAGAAUUAGUGGGGGGACCUGAGAGGUGGUGGUUUACCUUAU